GACGAACCGUCCAAACGUUAUUCGGUAUCACUGGGCUUAAAGGGUGCGUAGGCGGUCUGGUAAGUUGGGUGUGAAAUCCCUCGGCUCAACCGAGGAACUGCGCCCAAUACUGCCGGACUCGAGGGAGGCAGAGGUAAGCGGAGCUUGCGGUGGAGCGGUGAAAUGCAUUGAUAUCGCAGGGAACACCAGUGGCGAAGGCGGCUUACUGGGCCUUUUCUGACGCUGAGGCAAGAAAGCUAGGGGAGCGAACGGG
rnacentral:rRNA from 1 species